UUUCCUGGCCAUCCCAACCGCUUUCCAGUCACCAGAGAGAAAUCCGCUCUCAACUGCAUUUGCAUUGCAUUGGCUUAAAGUACAGAAAUACUCUUUUAGGUGAGCUGACUGGAUGUGGGGAAAUUUCUAUCUACCUCUAAUGAACAGCAAUUAGAAUUUCCGGCCAUAAACUCUGUCAAGAACUGAAAAGCGUUAACCCAGAACCACGUCAACUGACCAAAUUUGAGUGUCAAGCCCAGGGAGGGUUCAAACUCCGACUGCAGUGGGCCAAGUACUACUACUAUAUUUAAGUUCUGACACACAAUGUGGGAGUGUCGCACCCUCUGUAACAGGUGUUCAACUGCCACUGAACUGAUUCGAAUUGAAACGACCGUCGUAUGAUUAAUGGAGCCAUUUAAAAAUGCACUUUUACGAACGGAAAUGGCAAAACAAAUCUCAAAUAUACGUAGUCACAAAAGGUGACAACUUUUUUACAGCGAAUUGUGGUUUAGAUAUUACUAAGGAAUUUCCAAAAAAUUCUGUUUUUAGUGGAGCAUGUAAAAAAACCUUUUAACCGGUUUUGGGUAUGCCCAUAAUCAUUUAUUUUAUUCGCUGUAUAUUUUUGCAUCUGCCGCUCACGUGGGUACGAUCUCUGGGUCAAUUAUGAAUCACUGACUGGCAUAAAAAUCCCCAAAGAAACCCAUCAGGCUGGAAGCGUUUUGCAUACGCAUCAACGCAUUUCGUAAAACGAUCUAAGGGAAACUACAAAACCCCUUGAAAACUGGAAUAUGAACUAAUAUUGCUUUCAUUUCCGUUGUCAAUUAUUCUGCUUGCGGUUAUGGGAAUAAUGUUAAUUAUUCCUAAAAACUGGAAUAUAAAAUUUGGAAUAAUUAAUAUGACGUGAGGAAGAGACAAAGGAGGAGUUAUAAAUACGCUGGCAAUAAAAAUGAUUUCCAAUG